AUUGAACGCUGGCGGCAUGCUUUACACAUGCAAGUCGAACGGUAACAGGCCUUCGGGUGCUGACGAGUGGCGAACGGGUGAGUAAUGCAUCGGAACGUGCCCAGAGGUGGGGGAUAACGCAGCGAAAGCUGUGCUAAUUCCGCAUGUGAUCUGAGGAUGAAAGCGGGGGACCAAGCAGCAAUGUUUGGCCUCGCGCCUCUGGAGCGGCCGAUGUCAGAUUAGGUAGUUGGUGGGGUAAAGGCCUACCAAGCCGACGAUCUGUAGCUGGUCUGAGAGGACGACCAGCCACACUGGGACUGAGACACGGCCCAGACUCCUACGGGAGGCAGCAGUGGGGAAUUUUGGACAAUGGGCGCAAGCCUGAUCCAGCAAUGCCGCGUGCGGGAAGAAGGCCUUCGGGUUGUAAACCGCUUUUGUACGGAACGAAAAGGCUCUGGCUAAUACCUGGGGCUGAUGACGGUACCGUAAGAAUAAGCACCGGCUAACUACGUG
rnacentral:rRNA from 1 species